UUUAAAAGAGAUGUAUUUGAGGAGACUCCUUUAUCUCUUGCUUGAAGAAUGUUAUUUUACGAUUUUUAAUUCUGCGAAUCGAUGUUUUUCGUUGUGAAAUCUGAUGCUGAAAUAAUCGUUCGAUUUUCAGAAAUUUGGCAAGAUUCUCUUGAAACUUCUUCAGACCUGUUUCCAAUGGACAUCUACCAAUCACUGGUUUCAUUAAAUCCUGAUUGAUGCGUACUGUGAUGCUUUAGUAUGAAACGAAACAAAUUCCAUUUUUAAGGAAAUGGACCCCAAAAGGAGUUUAUUUUAAAGGAAGCUACAUUCAUUCAUGAAUAACAGUCGAAGGUGCUAAAUUGGACUGAUUUGAUCGAGAUGUGCUUCAAGAUUUUUAUUCUGAAAGGAAUUUAUUAUCGCCUAGAUGCUGAAACCGAUGUGCUUACAUGGUCAUCCAAAGCAAGUAACUGUUAUAAUAGUCUAUAGCUUUAAAAUGUCUCAAUUAUAAUAAAUGUAUUCAUGUUGUUGAGCCACUUGAUUUACACUAAUCCGACAUGUGAAGAAAAUGUAAUUUAUAUAGUUUACUAUAAAAUUCAAAGAAACUUGUCAAUAAAUUGUUAUAUAGGGAACUUCAUCACAUUCUUAAGCCUCUAAGUGACAGAUACUUAAAGUUUAAAUUUAAACUUCGUUCAAAACUUCAUAUAAGCAAAAUAUUUUAAUUUAUUGUAAAAGUGAAAUGAAACGGACGUGUUUAAUGGAAGCAAGACUUCUACACCAACUUAAAUCUCAUUUGAUGGGCAGGAUGAA